rnacentral:tRNA from 1 species
GCGCCCGUAGAUCAGUUGGAUAGAGCACCGGAAUUCUAAUCCGCAGGUCGCAGGUUCGAAUCCUGCCGGGCGCG